rnacentral:rRNA from 1 species
GCAAGGGGAGCGGCAGACGGGAGAGUAACACGUGGGAACGUGCCCUUUGGUUCGGAACAACCCAGGGAAACUUGGGCUAAUACCGGAUACGUCCGUAAGGAGAAAGAUUUAUCGCCAAAGGAUCGGCCCGCGUCUGAUUAGCUUGUUGGUGAGGUAACGGCUCACCAAGGCGACGAUCAGUAGCUGGUCUGAGAGGAUGAUCAGCCUCACUGGGACUGAGACACGGCCCAGACUCCUACGGGAGGCAGCAGUGGGGAAUAUUGGACAAUGGGCGCAAGCCUGAUCCAGCCAUGCCGCGUGGGUGAUGAAGGCCCUAGGG